GACGAACGCUGGCGGCGUGCCUCAGACAUGCAAGUCGAACGAUUAAAGCUCUCUUCGGAGAGUGCAUAAAGUGGCGCACGGGUGAGUAACACGUAAGUAAUCUACCUUCGAGUGGGGAAUAACAUCGGGAAACCGAUGCUAAUACCGCAUAAUGCAGCGGCAUCGCAAGAUGACAGUUGUUAAAGAUUUAUCGCUUGAAGAGGAGCUUGCGGCAGAUUAGCUAGUUGGUAAGGUAAUGGCUUACCAAGGCUACGAUCUGUAACCGGUCUAAGAGGACGGUCGGUCACACUGACACUGAAUAACGGGUCAGACUCCUACGGGAGGCAGCAGUCGGGAAUUUUGGGCAAUGGGCGAAAGCCUGACCCAGCAACGCCGCGUGAAGGGAUGAAGUAUUUCGGUAUGUAAACUUCGAAAGAAUAGGAAGAAUAAAUGACGGUACUAUUUAUAAGGUCCGGCUAACUACGUGCCAGCCGCCGCAGU
rnacentral:rRNA from 1 species